rnacentral:rRNA from 1 species
GACGAAACGCUGGCGGCGUGCUUAACACAUGCAAGUCGAGCGGGGAGGCUUUUCGGCACCGGCUGCUGAGGCUCAAGGGUCACAGGAGCAGGUGCUGGAAGGACUUCCAGCGGCGGACGGGUGAGUAACGCGUGAACAAUCUGUCCCAGACAGGGGGAUAACAGAUGGAAACAUCUGCUAAUACCGCAUAAGACCACGGAGCCGCAUGGCACUGGGGUAAAAGGAGCAAUCCGGUUUGGGUGAGUUCGCGUCUGAUUAGCUAGUUGGUGAGGUAACGGCCCACCAAGGCGACGAUCAGUAGCCGAACUGAGAGGUUGAUCGGCCACACUGGAACUGAGACACGGUCCAGACACCUACGGGUGGCAGCAGUAGGGAAUAUUGGGCAAUGGGCGAAAGCCUGACCCAGCCAUGCCGCGUGAGUGAUGAAGGUCCUAGAGAUUGUAAAACUCUUUUCUGUAGGAAAGAAUAAAUAGGGAAGGAAAUGUCCUUAUUUGUAC